rnacentral:rRNA from 1 species
GUAGGUGGCAAGCGUUGUCCGGAAUUAUUGGGCGUAAAGCGCGCGCAGGCGGUUCUUUAAGUCUGAUGUGAAAGCCCACGGCUCAACCGUGGAGGGUCAUUGGAAACUGGAGAACUUGAGUACAGAAGAGGAAAGCGGAAUUCCACGUGUAGCGGUGAAAUGCGUAGAGAUGUGGAGGAACACCAGUGGCGAAGGCGGCUUUCUGGUCUGUAACUGACGCUGAGGCGCGAAAGCGUGGGGGAGCAAACAGGAUUAGAUACCCUGGUAGUCCACGCCGUAAACGAUGAGUGCUAAGUGUUAGGGGGUUUCCGCCCCUUAGUGCUGCAGCUAACGCAUUAAGCACUCCGCCCUGGGAGUACGGCCGCAAAGGCUG